CCUACGGGUGGCAGCAGUGAGGAAUAUUGGUCAAUGGCCGGAAGGCUGAACCAGCCAAGCCGCGUGAAGGACGAAGGUGCCAAGCAUUGUAAACUUCUUUUGUCAAGGGACAAAAUCAGGCUCGAGAGCAUGACCGCGGGUACUUGAAGAAAAAGCAUCGGCUAACUCCGUGCCAGCAGCCGCGGUAAUACGGAGGAUGCGAGCGUUAUCCGGAUUUAUUGGGUUUAAAGGGUCCGUAGGCGGACGAUUAAGUCAGCGGUAAAAGCCCGGGGCUCAACCCCGGCGAGCUGUUGAAACUGGGUGUCGUGAGAGGGCGAGAGGUAUGCGGAAGUCGCAGUGUAGCGGUGAAAUGCUUAGAUAUUGCGCAGAACUCCGAUUGCGAAGGCAGCAUACCGGCGUCGAUCUGACGCUGAGGCACGAAAGCGUGGGGAGCGAACAGGAUUAGAUACCCGUGUAGUC
rnacentral:rRNA from 1 species